AUUUGAAUACUUUGUAGGCGUUCAGUGCCAAUGAUGAUGCUGUGGUAUCUUCAGAUACUGUAGCAGCGACGCUUCUGCAAAUGCCCAGCAGGUCUUAUUCCUGUGCGAAGAAGCAUUUUUGUCAAGGUUUGCUCUGAAACUGACCUAAAGUACUAACUACAGCUGUCUACAAAUCUAGAAGACAAAUCACACCCACACCUUAGACUGUAUCCUAUUUCCUAUGGAAUUUAUCUCCAAUUUCUUUUUAAAAUGAAACUUUUUUGAAGAUUUUUGGAUUAUAACUGCGAGCACUUCUAUGCAAGAAAAGAAGAGCUAGUGUGGUUAUUUGUUGGAGCUUCUGUUCAAUGGAGGGGCUCCUACCAGUCAGCCAUGCGUAAGAACAAGUGAUGGAGGCAAGUGCUAAAUGUUUUUUUACACUUCUGAGCUAUUUUUGCCAACUGCUCAAUUUGAGCAGCUUUAC